AGUGAACGCUGGCGGUAUGCCUAACACAUGCAAGUCGAACGGCAGCACAGUAAGAGCUUGCUCUUACGGGUGGCGAGUGGCGGACGGGUGAGGAAUACAUCGGAAUCUACUUUUUCGUGGGGGAUAACGUAGGGAAACUUACACUACUACCGCAUACGACCUACGGGUGAAAGCAGGGGAUCUUCGGACCUUGCGCGAUUGACUGAGCCGAUGUCGGAUUAGCUAGUUGGGGGGGUAAAGGCCCACCAAGGCGACGAUCCGUAGCUGGUCUGAGAGGAUGAUCAGCCACACUGGAACUGAGACACGGUCCAGACUCCUACGGGAGGCAGCAGUGGGGAAUAUUGGACAAUGGGCGCAAGCCUGAUCCAGCCAUACCGCGUGGGUGAAGAAGGCCUUCGGGUUGUAAAGCCCUUUUGUUGGGAAAGAAAAGCAGCAGGUUAAUACCCCGCUGUUCUGACGGUACCCAAAGAAUAAGCACCGGCUAACUUCGUG
rnacentral:rRNA from 1 species